rnacentral:rRNA from 1 species
AUUGAACGCUGGCGGCAUGCCUUACACAUGCAAGUCGAACGGCAGCACGGGAGCAAUCCUGGUGGUGAGUGGCGAACGGGUGAGUAAAGUAUCGGAACGUGCCCAGUCGUGGGGGAUAACGUAGCGAAAGUUACGCUAAUACCGCAUACGAUCUAUGGAUGAAAGCGGGGGAUCGCAAGACCUCGCGCGAUUGGAGCGGCCGAUAUCAGAUUAGGUAGUUGGUGGGGUAAAGGCUCACCAAGCCGACGAUCUGUAGCUGGUCUGGGAGGACGACCAGCCACACUGGGACUGAGACACGGCCCAGACUCCUACGGGAGGCAGCAGUGGGGAAUUUUGGACAAUGGGCGAAAGCCUGAUCCAGCCAUGCCGCGUGCAGGAUGAAGGCCUUCGGGUUGUAAACUGCUUUUGUACGGAACGAAAAGGUUUGGGCUAAUAAGCUGAGCUCAUGACGGUACCGUAAGAAUAAGCACCGGCUAACUACGUGCCAGCAGCCGCCGUAA